rnacentral:lncRNA from 1 species
AUCCUGAUUUGAAUGGACUUGGUACUAGGAUCCAUCAAAUUUUGAAAAAGAGUGGUAUUGAAUUAUAAUUCCUUAACAAGCAUAAAUUCAAGUUGUAUGACUAAAUGAUGAGUUGUGGUGCUUUGUGCUAGCCAGGUUUCUAAUGCCCCAUCAUAGGCUGAAAAUGUGGUUGUGGUGGUUCAUGGGACUAGCCAGGAUAUUGACACCCCACCAUGG